rnacentral:rRNA from 1 species
GACGAACGCUGGCGGCGUGCUUAACACAUGCAAGUCGAACGGAAAGGCCCCUUUGUGGGUACUCUAGUGGCGAACGCGUGAGUAACACGUGCGUAACCUUCCCUUAACUUCGGGAUAACUUCAGGAAACUGGGGCUAAUACCGGAUCGGAAUCCUUGCUGCAUGGUGGGGGUUGGAUAGCUUCGGCGGUUUUGGAUGGAGUCGGGGCUUAUCCGCUUGUUGGUGGGGUAGUUGCUUACCAAGGCUGUGACGGGUAGCCGGCAUGCGGGGGCGACCGGCCACACUGGGAUUGAGAGACGGCCAAGACUCCUACGGGAGGCAGAAGGGGGGAAUACUGCACAAUGGGCCGAAGCCUGAUUCAGCAACGCCGCGGGCGGGAUGACGGCCGUCGGGUUGUAAACCGCUUUCAGCAGGGGCGAAGCUUGUGGUGACGGUAACUGCAGAAGAAGCACCGGCUAACUACGUG